rnacentral:rRNA from 1 species
UGGGGAAUAUUGGACAAUGGGCGAAAGCCUGAUCCAGCAAUGCCGCGUGAGUGAUGAAGGCCUUAGGGUUGUAAAGCUCUUUUACCCGGGAUGAUAAUGACAGUACCGGGCGAAUAAGCCCCGGCUAACUCCGUGCCAGCAGCCGCGGUAAUACGGCGGGGGCUAGCGUUGUUCGGAAUUAUUGGGCGUAAAGCGCACGUAGGCGGCUUUUCAAGUCCCAUGUGAAAGCCCACGGCUUAACCGUGGAAGUGCAUGGGAAACUGGAGAGCUUGAGUACUUAAGAGGAUCGCGGAAUUCCCGGUGUAGAGGUGAAAUUCGUAGAUAUCGGGAGGAACACCAGUGGCGAAGGCGGCGAUCUGGGAAGAUACUGACGCUGAGGUGCGAAAGCGUGGGGAGCAAAC